UCAGGGUGGCGAAAUGGUAAACGUAGCAGUUAGCUGUGGGUGAUAAAGAUAUAGCGCGGUAUCUCACCGUUGCGGGUUCGACUCCCGCCCCUGAA
rnacentral:tRNA from 1 species